UACGUAGGGUGCGAGCGUUAAUCGGAAUUAUUGGGCGUAAAGCGUGCGCAGGCGGCGCGUUAAGACAGGUGUGAAAGCCCCGAGCUUAACUUGGGAAUUGCGCUUGUGACUGGCGGGCUGGAGUGUGGCAGAGGGAGGUGGAAUUCCACGUGUAGCAGUGAAAUGCGUAGAGAUGUGGAGGAACACCGAUGGCGAAGGCAGCCUCCUGGGCCAGCACUGACGCUCAUGCACGAAAGCGUGGGGAGCAAACAGG
rnacentral:rRNA from 1 species